rnacentral:rRNA from 1 species
AUACGGAGGGUGCAAGCGUUACUCGGAAUCACUGGGCGUAAAGCGCGCGCAGGCGGCCAUUUAAGUUGGAUGUGAAAGCCUACGGCUCAACCGUAGAACUGCAUCCAAAACUAUUUGGCUAGAGUGUGUGAGAGGAAGAUGGAAUUAGUUGUGUAGGGGUAAAAUCCGUAGAGAUAACUAGGAAUACCAAAAGCGAGGGCAAUCUUCUGGAACAUUACUGACGCUGAGGCGCGAAAGCGUGGGGAGCAAACAGAAUUAGAUACCCUAGUAGUCC